UAUAAAAAUUUCUAUCCAUAUAAAAUAUAUGCUUAUAUAUAAAUAAAAUUUAUGUUUAUUAUAUAUAAAAUAUAUAUUUAUAUUUAUAUAGCAAAUAUAUAUAUUUGCUCAGUGAAAGAUGUGUUGUAGAUCAUGAGUUGCUCAUUCAAUACAUGGUGCUGAGAGCAUCAGUUAUCAUACAGGAAAAAAAUUAAUGAAGCUCCUUAUUCUCUACUAUACAAAAAUUAAUUUUUGGUGGAAUAGAAUUUUAAUAUAGAAGGCAAAAGUAUAAAACUUUUAGAACUUUUAGAAUAAAUUUAGAAUAUUUUUAUAAUCUUGGAAUUUAAAGAAUUGUUUAAAAAGACACAAAAAGUACCCAUUAAAGAAGAAAACAUUGGUAAAUCAACUGUACAAAUAUCAUCAGAAGGUACCAUAAAUGAAAAUAUAAGAAAUUCAUAUCCAGAUUAAUCUUGAUCAUGGUCUUACAGCUUCCAGAACUGUAGGAAGUAAACGUCUGUUGUUUAAGCCACUCUGUCUACAGUAUUUUUGUUAUAGUAGCCUGAGCUAGGACAGCUUUAGAUAAGCCUUUGGGGACCACAGAUGAACCUACAUCACUUGGUUCUAGAAUGUUCUGUGGUUUCAGCGUAGAAACCAGAGAAUAACUAAGGCUGGGAGAAAGAAGGACCACACUGAUGGGAGAAGUUGGUAACAAGAGGUAAGAAGUGGGCAACCUGGAUGCUAAUUCUUGUUUUUUCCUUCCCCAUCCUCAUGGCUGUGGCCAAAUCACUGGGCCUGUUGUCUUUUCUGUAAAGAGAGGGGCUCAUUUCUCAUUUGGAUUCAACCUUUCUAAUGGAGCAUUUAAACAUGGAGGAGGAAUUUUUUGGUUGUCACGAGGAUCGAGGAACCCUGCUGGCUAAGUAUCCUCCAAUGUGUGAGACAGUUGUAUCCUAAAUGCCAGUGUGCCAUUGAGAAACAUAAUCUCUAACGAUGUACUGGUGGGUCAGGAAACAUUUGGAUACUUUAUCAAGCAUGUGGGUCUCCACCCAAACGCACGGGUCAGAUGGCUGCUCUCCAAAGAUGAGGCUCUUUAGGGCUGCAUAUGAGAUGCUCUGUUCUCAUUUAUGUCCUGCUGGGGGGCUGACUCGUCCUUGCAGGAAUAAGAUUUAGCUGAAUUUGAUUGAAGCAGACAAUCACAAACCAUGUGCUCCCUUGUUCUGACAGCCAGCAGGAGCAGAAAAAUGGCUCUGGUACUAACUUCCAUUCUCAGAACCCUGCGUGCAGUGUUUUAUCAUCGUUCUGUUCAAAGCUAAGCAGUGCCCUCCUUGGGACACUCUAGGAAUGUACAGUGUUAGCUGCUCUGAGAAAAUGCCUUGGCCACAAGGUGAAAAUACUCUCUGGCUGUGGCUUGAGCCAACUGGGUCAGCGCCAGCCUGUGCCGAUAUCUCUGUGGACAGAGGAGUCCCCGUGGGAGAAGACAGCCCAUGCCGGGGUGCGUAGAUUGAUGAGAGGAGUGAGAACUGUAUUUCUGUGCUUACUCACUCUCCUGGACAGGUGUUUUUGUGCAUUGCACAAGCUGUACAUCAAUACCUAGCGGCUGGACCCUCUCAUUCUCUACCAGUUCGGCAAUCUACAUUUGGCUUCAUUCAGGAGGGUCUUUCCCCAUGGUUGCCUAAACCCAAAAGCAAAAUGUAUGGGUCCUGGGCUACUUCUCAGGCUCUAGUUCCAAAGAACGGGCCCAGGUAUCCAGACUCCACAGCCUGACAUUCACUGCUACGUACACUCUGGUUCCAAUUUGCUUGUCUACUCACCCUACCCCAGACUCUCUGCUAAACAGGCUACUUUAGUCAUUGCCUCCCAAAUAAUGCUUGUGAAGUUGCAUCUCCAGAUUCUCAUACUUUUCCCAUAUCCUCACCUUUUACCCAGCUAUUUCAAGGCUUGGCACAUUUUCAGUUCUCUGGGAAGCCCUCUCAAUUGCCCCCGCUCGGGAACUACUGAAAAAUGUCAUCCUACUUCCCAUUGGUCACUGACUGCAUAGUUCAUGUGUUGGGAACCUUGAAUCUUAAGAUUUUAAGUUCCUUGAAGGUGUAAACCUAAUGAGAAAACUUGGCCUUGAGGCCCCUCUACUUAAGAAUCAUUUAAAGCAAUGACCAUGGAAACAAAUACCUGUCCUCUUGGAUCAAAACAAACAAACAAACUGUUAAAGAGCAAGGAAUUUGGCGCCCGUCCUAGGUUGGCAGUGAGAGCAUCAGAACAGGCUUGAGGCCAAAUCCAUGAACCUCAUAUAGUUAGUUGCCCCUGAACUUGGCGUGGAAUGCCUUGGCCCAUAUUAAAGAAAGUGCUUCACUCUGGGGACACUGGUCAGCCUGUGGCCACGCUCCUUAGUGGCACCACAGGAAGCCUUCUCUCUCCCUCUGAGACCAUAUGGACUGAAGCUCUGGGAUUACUCACUUCCUGAGUCAUCCAACCUCACGUGGCCAUAAAAACAUCCACGUCCUUUUAGGUGGAGGCCUUACAGAUAGGUUGUUGAGUCAGAUUUAUGGGUUUUGGAAAGAGAUGCUUUGGAUGGUCUUAAAACCUUUGGCGAGUUUGCAGGAGUCCUGGACUCAAGUCCACCACCGCUCAGAACAGUGAAUGUUUCAGAAAAUGCCUGGAAAAGAGCAUCUCUUUACUGAAUGACCUUAGUAGUGUACUCAUUCCCCAGGUAAAUACUGAGCCACUCUGUGUUCCAGGCACAGUUCUAGUUUCUGGGAAUAUACCUGGGAGCAAAACAGACAGAAAUCCUGCCCUUAGGAGCCUCCACUCCAGUUCCUGGUUAAGUCUGUUUUUCACAUGAUCCAAGCACUUUGGCAGGUGUUAGGGCUGUAGGAGGGAUGGCACGGGAGCCCCUUGGGUAGGGGACAUGGCAGACACCUCUCUCAGAAACACUGCCUCAAGCCUCAUUGUUCAAAUCUGGUGUGUAGACUGGCAUCAUCCGCACCUCCAGGGAUCAUAGUAGAAAUGCACCAUCUUAUGCCCUUCUCAAGACCUUCUGAGUAAGAAACUGCACUUUGUAAUAAGAUCCCAGGUGAACUGUGCACAGGGAAAGGCUUGAAAAGCCUUACUACAGGACACCAAAUCCCACGAGCUGUCCUGCAGUAAAAGGGAGCAGAAUGAGAAAAUGCAUCUGGGAAGGCGUAUCCCAUGCCUCCCUUGCAGAUUCGGAAAGGCUGUGGGCUAAAGACUGAGAUCCCCUCAGAAAGAAAUGUGCUUAAAAUCCAAUGCUCCUCCAACAUCUUUGAUGGCUCAACCACAAACUACCGACUGUAAUCACUCAACAGAGCCAGCAUCCUGUGAAACACACCCUGGGAAAACCUGCAGUGGACCCUCUGGCAUUCACAGAUGCAACUCUCUUGGCUUCAGUGACUGCAGGUGGAGUGAGCCCAUGGGGUGAUAACUGGCAGUUUUGCUGAGGAACAAAUCUGAACCAUGCCUCUUGCCAGGCUGGGACUCUGGGCCAAGGUCUCAGCUUGGGAUAGGGUGAGGAUGGGUGGGCUAGAAAGAUGGAGGGGAACCCAGAGACUGCCAACUGCUGGUUAACUUGUGGCAUAAGGAGGAUAGAUACAGAAAACACUGCAUUCCAUAGCUGAAAUGUGUAUUUGGAGAAAUAUAGGAGCCAAUAAAAGCAUGCCCUAUUUGUUAUUUGGGGGAUUCAAGGUCAUGGUGAUAUAUAUUCCACAGGUGUCAAGAAUCUGUGAUGAUGAUGAUGAUGAUGGCAAAGACAAGGACAGAUAACUUUUUAAAACUUACUAUAUACCGGCUGGCGCGGUGGCUCACACCUGUAAUCCCAGCACUUUGGGAGGCCAAGGUGGGCGGAUCAUGAGAUCAAGAGAUCAAGACCAUCCUGGCCAACAUAGUGAAACCCCGUCUCUACUAAAAUAUAAAAAAUUAGCUGGGCAUGGUGGCGUGCGUCUGUAAUCCCAGCUUCUUGGGAGGCUGAGGCAGGAGAAUUGCUUGAACCCGGGAGGCGGAGGUUGCAGUGAGUGGAGAUCGUGCCACUGCACUCCAGCCUGGGGCCUGGCGACAGAACGAGACUCUGUCUAAAAAAAACUUACUAUAUACUAAGCACUGUCCUAAUUCAUAUGUUUCCUACAGCGAAGCUAAGUGGUAUAAUCCUCAUUUCUGCAGAUGAAGAAAUUGAGGUACAGUGCUGGCUCCUUGUUUUAAUCCCUUUCACGCUGAAUAUGACUUCUGAGACCUAGGUGACAGGCAACUGACUGGCACAGACUCAACUGGCCAGAUGAUGGAGUGGCCACUUAAUCCCCCUAGCCAGCCCCUGAAAGCUGAGAGCCCUGCUCAGAGCCCCAUCCCAGAAGUGGGCAAGAUUCAAAUUUGUGUCUUAGCAAAACUGCCGAUUAUCACUCCAUGGGCUUAUUCCUUCUGGAACAGGGUAAAGCAAGAAUACAGAAUCCCCUUGGAGGAAUGUCCACACUGUUCCCAAUUUGUGGAUGCCAUUUAGGAGUGAAGCAGCCCUAACUGGGCAGGUACAGGCUGGAAUGACCUUAGAGGUGGGUCUGGGAGGGGACCCCUGGUUUGCUCUGGGCCAGGCAUAGAAGACUCAGCACAGUGCUGGAUUGCAGAGAGAACUACGCUUGGAUUGUAAGGUCUGGGAUCUCAUCACAAUGCUGGUCUGCAGCUACUGUGUGGCCUGUGACAGGCCUCUUGCCCUGGGUCUGUCUUCUCAAUGUUGGAAAAUAGGAUACACCCCCAACACCUGGUCCUGGGCUGCACCCUGGGUUUCAAGUCAAUGACAGCUUUUCAGGAGGUCCCUCCAGGGCUCCUUGGGGGUCAUGGCUGCUGCAGCCUGGCAAAUCCAGAUCAUGUGAGAGGUGGCUUAACCCUCCCUCUCUCAGGGACAUACAAAAGAUCUGUUGCUUCCAAAUUGCACCAACACACAUGCCUAGAAUCCUUGUAAUGAAGCCGGAACUCCUGCUGUGUGGUCAGACAAACUCAAGGAUAAACUGCCCCUGCUUCUUGGGAUGACACUAGGAAUUUGCCAUUCUUCACUAGGCAGUCCCUGGGCCUAGAGCUUACAGUUUAGGUUUCUCUCACUUUGAGACAAAGUAUAGGGUGGUGAUAUUGAAGUCAGCCGGGCACAGUCUUGAGUGCUGGCUGUGUGACACAGGACAAGUCACUCAACCUCUCUGAGCUCCAGCGUGCUCAUUGGUAAAUGGUAUAAAUGAACGUACGUAUGUCAUGGGACUGCUGUGAGGCGCUGGCACAUUAUCAGUGCUUUGUAAAGAGCAGCUAUUACCCUUGCUGCUGCUUGGACAUUGGUUACGAAAGGGGAAUAGUUUUAAAAUUUGCUUUUUAAAAAACAUCAACAAAUUUCUGAAGGCAUUUUCAAGUGAAACUUUAAAACAUAUUUUUCUCUUCUUAAAAAGUUAAAAUUUUUGUAUGAGGUUAGGCACAAUUUUUUAAUUAACAAAUAGCAAUCAAGGGCUUCUGAACAAUUCCAAGGACUCCCCUGGUGCUCUAUUCCACUCGUCUUCCACCCUCUCCCUCCUGGCAGCAAUCGCUAGCAUUUCUGUACGACUCACCCUGGAGGCCGGCAGGCUCUGCGCCUCCCGGUCAGGAGCUGCCAGCUCUCCCCUGCAGCUGAAGCCUUCUUGCUGUAAGUUGUCCCUUUGUCCCAGAGCACUCACCCUAACUGGGAAAUCCCUCAUUUCUUCAUUAACUUCCAGGUUGCUCCCUGCUCAUUAAUGCGGAGCUGGAGAAGCAGGGUGCACAGGACCUUACAACAGGGACCGGGAGCAGCAGCUCGGAGAUUCCGCCCAACUUUGGCUUCCUUGUCCCAGGGCCAGCAUCAGGGAGGGAGGAAGAGGACAGGGACAACAAUCAGCAGGGUCUGUGUAAGCACACACUUCUCAUUCAGGACUCCUCUGACCACCAUAGGGGGUAAGGCCAGGCUCACGGCCACACAGCAGUUGAGCCAGAAGAGCAGUGUUUUUGCUUUUUCAUGUAACAAUGGCACCAUCUAUACAAAAUUUUAGGAAGGAAGGGCAAUGCAUCUAUCAGAACUCACUGGUGACAGGAGCAGCAGGAGCUAAAUUGGCUGAGCUGAAACAGGCUGUUACUUCCUAGCUGUGUGACCUUAGGGAAAUCACCCAACCUCUCUGUGCCAACAAUUGUGCCUACCUCACAGGAUUCAUUUAAGGAGUAAGUAAGUUGAUAAAUACCAAGUGAUUAAAAUCCUCCCUGGCACAUCCAUAGACUUUAUAUAUGCUAGAUAUUAUGUUUGUCGUUGUUAAGCCUCAUGAAGGCAGGAGCCUUUGUCUAUUUUGGUUACUGGUCUGUGUUAGAACAGUGCCUCAUCUUAAUAGGUGCUCUAUAAACCGUCGUUGGGUGAAUAAAUCAAUUUUCAAGGUAGAACUCUUUUGCAAUGCAGCCAUUGUUUAUCUUGGCCAGCAGAGGGCAGCAAAUGGCUGUGACUGAUUAACUGUGGGCAAAGGUGGUUUUAAUUUUGAAAGUUACCAGAACUGUCCCUCCUGAGCCAGUUCGGGUAAUACAAGGUGGCCAUGAAGCUGUACAACUGCCCCGAUCCCUGCCACCCACCUUUGUGCAGGUUAGAAUGAUUGUCAGGCAUUCAACUCACAAAAAAUCUUGGUUCCAUUUCUUCUCAAGUUACUUUCAAUUUCAUUCCAUCUUCCCUCCCUUCCAGGAUCCCUGCUUUUCCUCCUCUCUCCUUUUUCUCUAAUCUGCUUCCCCCCACCCCCCACACUCACUCCGAUGCAUCAAGCUAGUGUGCUGUACUUACUCCCAAAUUUUAUCUGUACAACUGCAGCUUGUACUGCAAACCAUGACGUCUAGAGUAAAUCCUCACACAAUAUUCUUCCCAACCGAUGAAUGCUGCUAAAUGUAGUAUAAUUUUUUAAAAACAUGUGAUUUGAAAACUCUAGACCCAGAGAGGUACUAUAGUUUGGCCAAGAACACACAGCAGCAAUUGGGGUAAUGUUAGAGCCGUAGCCUCGGCCUUCUGCUGUCCAUUACAUAGCCCCAUCACACACACUCUUUUGCCAAAACAAGGCUCUUGGGGUCCCUGUUUGCCAUCCAGUCAAUGCAGCCAUCAGCUUCUGGCCCCAGACACCUUCCCCUGCACUGUAGCACAGAGGAGCAGACUGCUUUGGAGGGCAGCUCCCUGGAAGCUCCAGGGACCCUGGCCAGGCGGCCACUGCCACUAACUUCCUCAGCUCACGUAGCCCCUGCCUGCCGCUCCCCUGCCUGCGGCUCCCCUGCCUGCCGCUCCCCUGCCUGCGGCUCCCCUGUCUGCGGCUCCCCUGCCUGCCGCUCCCCUGCCUGCCGCUCCCCUGCCUGCCGCUCCCCUGUCUGCCGCUCCCCUGCCUGCCGCUCCCCUGCCUGCCGCUCCCCUGUCUGCCGCUCCCCAGUCUGCGGCUCGGGUCUUCGCUCUGUGCUGCAGCGCAAGUUCAUCCACCCCGGAUGGUGCACUUCAUUGUCACGGGCAGGACCCUCACUGGCAGUCUGAGGACAUCAAGCCCUAGCACAGGAAGGGACAUUUUCACACUAAUCUGUGCCAGCUGGAGCAGUCCUGCCAUCUGCUUAUCAUAUUUUGGAACACUGGGAAGCUAGGAUGCAGUUAACAGAAGGAAGGGGCUGAAAUACCAGACUGCGAUGUACCAUCUCUUGGUUGCUAUGACUGAGGCCAUUAAAAUGGCAGGCAUUAAAAGACUGCACCUCAGUACCCAGCUACAAAGCCUCAAGGUCACUGCAUUCCACAGCUUCCCGUCGCCUUUCAUUCCUGGCCUCAGAGCUUCAAUAUCCUGGCGAGAUCCCCUCGCAUUAUAUUUCAUGAGGCUUAAAUGCAAGCUCUCCCACAGCAAGCCCGGGAGUAUAAUGGGGGUUUUAAUACAUUCCUUUUACCUAAGGCUGGGAUCCAUUUCAAAAAGUUACCCAAUAGGUUUCCUUUCAGGUGAGCUCAUUGCUCUGACAUUCCAAAAUGACAUUAAAAAAAUAAAUCCUCUGAUGACUAUAUUAAUACAGUACCUGGGACACUGAGAGUUAUGCCGGAAAACGUCUUAGAUGUCUAUAAAUAAAUCUUAAAAAAAAAAACCCAGCAGGAGGAAUGUGAGGAGCUAAUGGAAUUCAAAAGGCCUCAUUGCUACCCCCUCGGAGUUGAAAUCCACUCUGGGCAGACUGUCACAGCAGAUAUAAAAAGCCAGCCACAGGCUGAAGCUGUAUUAGAAAAUACUGGGGCAAUGGAAUAUUAAUCUUUUUCUCUAAAGAAAAGCCACAAACUAUGCUCCUUGGAAGAUGGCUUCCUUUGCUUUAAGAAGUACACUAAUUAAACAUGUACAAGGUUAAAUCUUGGCAACAUGCAGCUGCUUCAGGACCAGUCCUUCUUGACUUCAGGUGGAAAGAACUCAGAAGACACAAGACAUACAUGUGACAGUGUGGGGAGAAUGAUGUCAGCUUCCCAAACCAGCAGAAGGACCUGUGUGAGGCCUUAGGACCAAAAGUGCCCUUUCUUUCUGCCUUCCUGAAAACAUAUCACGAAACUGCCUUUUAUGCCUCAACCCAUCUUCCUUGAGAUUCUGUUUCUCCGUGCUCCGUGCCAUCUCAGCCUUGCAGACCUGGCUGUGUCAAGUAUCACCGUGUACUACUUUGGGACUGGAGGAACUGAAAAGCAUGUUGGUCAUAGUAGGGAACUGCCACAGAAGAAGUCAGGCCUCGCACUCCUGUUUGAAUAUGAAUGUGUGAGCCUUUGCUGGUAGAAUAAAAAUCUCUUUCAGAGUUUGAAAUAGUUUUACUGCAAGUGGAGUGGAAAGUGAAGUUUCCAAGGUUUUAUAAACAAACAACCUGAUACAAACACAGCAGUAUUAUAGGUCAAAGCAGAUGUAAUGAACCGGACUUAUGAAGACAUACAUGUGUAUCAGUUUUAUUUUUUCCAUAUUCAUUUCAACCUCAGCAGAGCUAGCAACACUAACACUCCCCAGUGACACAGCCAAUAGCAAGGCACUAGAGGCUCCAAAUUUGGAGUCCCCUUGGGUGUCCUUGGAUGGAAGUCAAGGGGUCCAUAAAUUAGAAUAGAAAAAAAAUUAUAUCUUUAUUUUCGCUAGUCUCUAACUAAAAGAUAGUGUUUACUUCAAUUAUGAAUGUAGAAAAAUCCCUGUAGUAUUAGUACUAUCUGUGAUAUUUUCAAUAGACAUUAGGAUAU